AGCAGAGCCUGUGUCUCAGAGGUGCAAUUAAGGGACCUUAUGCAAACUGUUGUUUUCUAUAACCCAUGGUUCCCAGAAGAAGGCUUGCCAAACCUAGAGCUCUGGGAACAAGUGGGGAGAAAUCUUAACAUCAUGCACAAGGGCAACGGGUCCCAGUAACAUCUUUAACGUUAUGGGCCUUAGUCAGGGCUGCUUUGUCCCCACUCUACACAGAAGAGCCUAAAAAGGGAAGGGAGGAAGAACCAUCAUCUACCUUACCACCUCCUCCUUCUCCCUCAGCCCCGCCGUUACCGAGUAAAGGUGCCACAGAGGAGACAAAUAUUUUCCCUGAGCCCUCUCUCCCAAUAUAUUGGAAAAAAUACAAGGGAUACACUACUGUUAUGGGACCCUGUCUUAGUCAAGUGGAAUUAGAAGGGAGCUCUUGACCUGCCCAGUGAUGCAAGAUCAACAAGACAAUCAGUAAGAAACGUACAAACAUUAAGAAGAGCCUAUUCAGAAAAGACAGUCUUCCAGUUACCUUAUAAAGGCAAGGAAGAACUGGUAGUUUGAAAUAAAAUAAUUUCAAAAAGUGCUGUACCCCCUGAGUAUUCUGCUGUAAUAAGGUAAGCACCUUUCUCCUUUGUUGAUGCAAUCAUUUACAUCUUCACCCCGCAAACACCUGUCACAUCCUUUUAAAUAUUUGUUUUUCCUUUUCCUAGGAUGAAAUCCCAUAAGUCAAUUUUUUCUCGGGAUUGUGAAGUUCACUGCACACAACCAGCCUUAUUUUACAUCUCUUUCUUUUAUUUCAACCAUCUGGGGACUGGGCAGAAGUCAUGGUCAGAGGGGCACAUAUGUAUUGCUUUGAUGAUGGGGGCAGAGAACAAAC
rnacentral:lncRNA from 1 species